rnacentral:rRNA from 1 species
ACCCUGGUAGUUCAUGCCGUAAACGAUGUCGAUUAGCCGUUGGCGUCGUAGUGACCUUUGUGGUGCAGUUAACGCGAUAAGUCGACCGCGUGGGGAGUACCGCCGCAAGGUUAAAACUCAAAUGAAUUGACGGGGGCCCGCACAAGCGGUGGAGCAUGUGGUUUAAUUCGAUGCAACGCGAAGAACCUUACCUACUCUUGACAUCGUGCGAACUUGGUAGAGAUACCUUGGUGCUUUCGGGAACGCACAGACAGGUGCUGCAUGGCCGUCGUCAGCUCGUGUUGUGAAAUGUUGGGUUAAGUCCCGUAACGAGCGCAACCCCUAUCCCUAUUUGCCAGCGAUUCGGUCGGGAACUCUAGGGAGACUGCCGGUGACAAACCGGAGGAAGGUGGGGAUGACGUCAGGUCAUCAUGGCCCUUACGAGUAGGGCUACACACGUGCUACAAUGGCCGGUACAAAGGGUUGCGAAGCCGCGAGGUGGUGCUAAUCCCGAAAAGCCGGUCUCAGUCCGGAUCGGAGUCUGCAACUCGACUCCGUGAAGUCGGAAUCGCUAGUAAUCGUGAAUCAGAAUGUCACGGUGAAUACGUUCCCGGGCCUUGUACACACCGCCCGUCACACCAUGGGAGUGGACUGCACCAGAAGUGGUUAGCUUAACCUUCGGGAGAGC